CCGCAGCCGCCCCGCUCCGACCCCCGCCGCCCGCUGGGCCCAGCCCGCGGCGAGUGUCCCCGUGCGUUUUCCAGCCCGAAGCGAGUUGGCAGAAGGUCCUUCUGAGCCGAGAACGUGGCGAACGCGCAAGGGAAAUGGGCGAGGGGAAUGGCCGGUCCCCACCGAUCGUUGCCGACCGCAAGCACCAGACUCGCAUCUGACAACUGGCUGUGUUUGCGGUGUAGGGAAGGCCCCACUGAGGCCUCGCUGGCAUGAGGGUCGAAGGAAGACAGCUGAGCUCCUGACUUUCUUGGGGCCGGCAUUAAUUACUCCGUGCAACUUGCCACCGAGUAUCUCAUUUGGGGUGUCCCAUGGGGAGCUGCGCAAAUAAGGUGGCGUUUCUGGUCUUAAAAGGUAGAAGGGUGGGACAAAACCAGUCAGACCAAGCUCAGGACAAGAGCCGUACCACACAGAGGCUUUCAUUCUGGUGUUUCUUACCCUGCUCUGCACCAGGAAGCCUUACUCUACUGCGGAACAGUACAAGUCAAAGCAGAGUUCAUCGCAUUUGUGUAGUCAACCCACACACUGACUCAACCAAGUCUUGAUCAAGUUACCUCUUGUUUUUGCGGGUUUGUUGUUGUUGUUGUUUGUUUGUUUUAUUUUUUUGUUUUGCCAAAGGAUUUGCAAAGCAUUUCUGGAAAAUGAAGAUGCUCCUCGGUAUUCCACUUUGAUAAACAAGUUUUGAACCGUUGUUCAGCAGGUGUCCAUUUAGAAAACGUUGACCUGUUUGUGAGACUUGCAUAAGUUAUACAGAAAGAGAUGGAAGCUCUUUUAGUGAACGUGGUUUACCUGUUCAUUCUUAGUGGCACAUUGUUUGCUUCCUCCAGGUCAAUGUUCUUCUUCUAGAUGACUGAAAAUCUUAUCUGAUGCUGGACUGCCAGACAGACACUAUUUGCAUAAAUAAAAUACCUGUCACCUUUCAUACUUUCAUACUUCCGUAAUUUCCAACUAGUCUAUGGGAAGUUCAGAGCAGAUCUAUGUUUAAACAGCUUCUGGAGAUCUUCAAGAGUUGGGCUUAGACUAAGUGUCGCCUUGACCUAAGCAUUUAUUCACAGUUUCUGGGAUGUGUUCUGAAUCCUUUCUGGGCUGUACUCAGCAUACCAUCAUUGUUGUACUCAUCUUCUGAAGGACAGCUCUUUAAGGUAAUCUUUGUUCAUGUUUUGGCAAAGAGAUGGCAGGAGUGGUUGCUGAAGAUGUUACUUUGCUUGCAAGGCAUAAGAAUAGAACACAGAAAGUUCAUCUUAUCCUUUUUUUCUAAGGGUUUUUACCAUUGAAGUCAACCAGAUCUUAGGCAUUCUGUUCUUCUGGAUGACUAAAAAGAAAUGCAGCUCAUCAGUACUGUUCUAUUUUUAGUACUUCAAGGAAACAAUGAAAGCUCGGAGUCAUUACUAAUUUUUUAUGUUUCAACCAUCCUCCUCAUUUUGUCUCCAGUGAAGGAAGUUCUUCUUUCACACUUAUUCAUUGCUUGCAGUGCCAUUAAUUCUUCUUUGCCUCCUAUUCUAAGCUUUUGUCCUUGUAGCUUGUUAAGAAUUAUCAGAUGAAUUAACCAUGCUGUUUGAAAAUGCAAGGUGCUGCUGCCAUGGUUCAAGCAUUUGAAGUACCAAGUUUUGUGACUGGUGUUAAAGUUAAGCAGCUGGAUUUUGUUACAGUAAGGUUCACAGUAGCUUGUUCUCAUUUUGCUCUAUCUAAAAAAUAAAAAAAUAAAAAAUCAGGUUGUCUAAAAGUUGUAUGGUGAAUUGCCUACGUCAGCAUUGCCAUCUUAUUUCCUAACGCAUUUCACACUUCUCUCACCCAGGAAGCACUUGUCGAUUAUUGCUCCUAUUUUUAAAACAGUGUUUUAGCUGUUAAAACCAAACUUUGUAGCAACUUGGUAAAUGGCUACAGUAACAUGGCAUACAAAUGUCUCUAGGAGAGAGGUUACAUGGAGAAGGCUGACCAACCAGUUUAGGAAGCUGGAAAGCUAGGCCAGCUGCAAAUCUGAAAGUAGCAGCAAGUGUUCUUAGAGGCACUUGAAACUACCUUGGUUAAUCCAGUCUUGGUAAGAAUGAGAAGAUGGGGAAAAUGCAGGUAGCGUUAGCAUACAGAGCUUCCAGUCUGAAGGAGACAACUGACUUGGCAGUCUUAGUGAAAGUCAGGACAGGUGUUCUAUUUUGCACAAUGUACUCAUUUAUUGGCAAGGUACAGAUCAUGGAAUUACGUUCAUUUGAAAGGUCGACUUCAUUUUGAUAUUACUGUUUACCACUGGCAUGUCUGCAAGGAUAUGAAAUGAUGAUGGAGGAGCUGAAUAUGAGAUUCUUAAAGUGAUAGACCAUAGCUGGCUAAAAAUCUGUAUUACUGCAUAUAUCAUAGAAGUCUGUGUUAGAAGGGAAUGGGUCUACACCAUCAGAAUCUGCUGUAAUCAAGACAUCCCAGCCAUAUUUGAUAUGCAGACAUUUGUUCACAAGGUCAUAACUCUUGACAUUAAGGUGACUAUCAGUCAUUAGUGAUGUCAAGGUCACUUUUUGUAUUUGGAAGUAGGAUUUGGAAAUUAAGUCUUUAGUAGUUGAGAUGUAGUCAGUGAUUAGCUGAAGGGUUUCAAAAGAUAGGACAGAUAUGGUUAAAUGUGAUGGUCUACACUGUAGGCAUUAGCAUCUGAUCAAAUCUUAUCACAAAAUCACAGAACAGUUGGUUGGGAAGAACCUCUGGAGGCCAUCUGGUCCAACUCCUGUUCUAGCUGGGACACGUAGAGCAGGCUGCCCAACACCACAUUCGGGCAGCUUUUGAAGAUCUCCAAGAAGACUGCACAACCUCUCUGGGCAAUUUGUGCCAGUGCUCCAUCACCAACGCAAUAAAGAAGUACUUCCCAAUAUUGAGAUAGAACAUUUUAUGUCCCAGUUUGUGCUCACUGCCUCUUGUUCUGGUACUGGGCACCACUGGAAAGAGCCUGACAUCAUCUUCAUUGCAUCCUCCCUUCAGUUAUCUAUACACAUUGUUGAGAUGUGCCCUGAGACUCCUCCAGGCUGAACUGUUCCAACUCCCUAAAUCUCUCCUCAUAGGAGAUAUACUCCAGUCUCUUGGUGAUCUUGGUGGUCCUUUGCUGGGCUCUUCGCAGUAAGUGCGUGUCUCUCUCAUCCUAUGCUACUUCACAGUCAAGGAAAAGCUAUCCAACAUAUUCAGUAGAACUAAUGGCAUGCUUCGUCUCAUCCUAAAUAGAUGUCUAUGUCUGGCCAGACAAAUUGCACUCUAAAUCUGAUUGAAUAAGUUGACUGAAGUUUUAUAGAUUGGAAGUAUGAUACCUAUUCUGCAACUGCCUAAAGAAAAAUGUGGUGGAUCCCACUCACAUUUCUAUGACCCAGCCUUUUUUUUGAUCCAAGAUAACUGGAUGAUUUAAAACUGUAUACUGACCAAAUGAUGCCAAUAGAGUACAUAUAAAAUAUAUCCUUUUGUACCUAAAAGCUUUACUUUCAUAUUUUGAUCCUAUCUU
ensembl:lncRNA